rnacentral:rRNA from 1 species
UCCUACGGGGCGCAGCAGUGGGGAAUAUUGGACAAUGGGGGGAACCCUGAUCCAGCGACGCCGCGUGAGUGAAGAAGUAUUUCGGUAUGUAAAGCUCUAUCAGCAGGGAAGAAAGAAAUGACGGUACCUGACUAAGAAGCCCCGGCUAACUACGUGCCAGCAGCCGCGGCAAUACGUAGGGAGCGAGCGUUAUCCGGAAUUAUUGGGUGUAAAGGGUGCGUAGACGGGAAAACAAGUUAGUUGUGAAAUCCCUCGGCUUAACUGAGGAACUGCAACUAAAACUAUUUUUCUUGAGUGCAGGAGAG